rnacentral:rRNA from 1 species
GACGGUGCCCCAUCUUACUAAAGGAGCCUGUUCUAUAAUCGAUAAUCCCCGCUACACCUCACCACUUCUUGCUUCCAUGCAGCCUGUAUACUUCCGUCGCAAGCUUGCCGUAUGAAUGACACUUAGUAGGCUCAAUGACUCAGUUUCGCCAGCACGUCAGGUCAAGGUGCAGCUUAUGAAGUGGAAAGCAAUGGGCUACAAUCUCUAAUUUAGAGUAAACGAACAACCAUCUGAAAUUAUGGUCACGAAGGGGGAUUUAGUAGUAAAGGGGGAAAAUAGUGCCCCCUUUAACAGAGACCGUGGGACGCGUACAAACCGCCCGUCACCCUCUUCAACAGCAUAUUAACAGUUAAUAACACACACCCGCACUUUAGAAGAGGCAAGUCGUAACACGGUAAGUGUACUGGAAAGUGCACUUGGAUAUGCAAAGUGUAGCUUAGUAAAGCCUUCCGCUUACACCGGAAAGACAUCUGUUAAACCCGGAUCACUUUGAGCUAUUAAUCUA